UUAAAAUCUACAUUUAUGUUUUAAACAAUUGGCCAAAACCACAAAGGAGCGAAACACGUGACUGUCUUUGAGUGAGACAUUGAAUCAUUCACUGAGUUGAAUCAGUGUUUUUGAACCGAACAAUUACUGCGUGUUGCUCGGAGGCGUGCAAAGUUUAAGAUACUGUGGCGUUUCUUUUAAGUUAUUUUCUUGGCAAAAAGAGCAAAAAGAGACAAACAGUUGCGAAUGUUGUCUCUAAAAUGUAAGUUACCCAGUAUCUCGUGUAAUAUUGCUUGAUUGUCCCGUCGAAAGGACCUUUCCAAAAGACCAUCUCUUCAGGGAAAUAAUUUUGUUGUUUACAGUCAUAUUAUUGUGGAUGGCGGGGUUCAAUACUGAUACUCGAACUGAUCUUUAAUUAUCCCCCUGGACUUAUUCGGUUUAUUAAUAAUAACAUAAGUGGAGGAGGGCCGCCACAACGAAUGAGUGGGACCCAGAGGAGUAUUUAGGCAGCUGCUGAGGCCUCCGUCCCAGCCCUGGUAUCAUCCCCCCAUCAGGCACUCCUUGAAGUGGUUUUAUAAGACAUGACGAGGGAGCCCGGGCCGAAAGUGAUCAGCGGGCGACGCACAUCUGAAACCCAUUUUCCGCAAUUAAAGGGGAGAGACUAUCAGCUCCAAACAUCGCCUGUUUCCACGGCCUGCCAUAAAGCAUGGCUUGUGGCUUGUUUGGGUCAGUCACUGAAAAAAAAAUGGAUGAGGAGAGAGGACAGGAGGAGAAGGAAGACGAAAAAAAGCUAAACGAUUGUGGAGCAUAAGAUUAAAGGACAUGCGGACUGAGCAAUGCAAAAAACCUGGAGCGAAGCUGGAGUGGACUGAUUACAAAGUUGGGGAAGGAGUUUCUGACAACAGAACUUCAUUGAGAAAUGAGCAGGUAUCUUAGAAUUCGAGAAGAAAUGCGGAUUACGUAGAUGCUCAAGCAGAAGUGGAUAAUUGUACAGAACGGGAUACCUGGAACAAAGCACGACUCUAGUCUUCGGGGUGCAUUGAAGUGAGAUAUUACAAUAUAAUCUUGAUGUAAAUGUCAGGACUUAAGAUGAUUAAGACUGCUGGUGUGUGUGAGUUCUCUUCUGAUCAUGCCAUGGAGGCUCAAUCGGUACUGACUGUGGCUUAUCUUAGAGCUCAUCCACCAAACCUGAACUCUUCUAAUCACCUUCAACUGGAUCAGGUUCCUGUAUUUGCUAUAUAGUCUGUGACCACUGAGACACUGCCAGCUCUGACUCUUCUUUGUGUAUGAUUACAGUUGUUGUUAUUAUUAUUGCUGCUGCUGUAUUUUAUGUAUUACCUAAAGUCUACAUAUACCAUUAGUGUUAUAAGUGGUUUUCUGCACCGAAAACAUAAGGCAGCUGCUAUUUGCACUAAGUUCAAAUAGCAAUAGAUGCUAUUUACACUAAGUGCAAAUAGCAGUAUUUUCUUUGCACUAAGUUUAAAUAGUAGUUAGAUGCGUUUUAAACAGUGCAAAUAGUGGCAGGUACUAUUUGCACCUCAGUAUAUUUUAGCAUAUUAUAAAACAGAAUGCGAUAAUAAAACAUAUUCAGUGUAUAUGUUUAUAUUUAAUAAAAUCAUAAAUGGAUGCUGGACAUUACUUGUUCUUGACAUUACCUCCCCUGCACCUGCACUUACUCCUAACCCUACCCGUUAAAGACCUUAUUCCCACUAUUAAAUACCCGUUAGGCACUUUAUUUUCUUUUUUUUUUUUUUUUUUGAAUAUUUUCUUAAUUUUUAUUAAAAAUAACCACUAAUUCGAGCUGAUAUGCAAUAGGAAAAGAGAUACGAAUGAGUUUGGUAAAAGGCGGACUCGAACUCGGGACAUUAAAAGCUGACGCCACCUUUCUCUCAACAUCACUGCUCGUGUUAUCAGCAGGAGUUAUUUUGUAAUUUUGUCUGGCUCAGUCAGAUAAUGGUGGGUGGAGUUAGUGUAAAUAGCCUCUGCCAACAAGGCGGGCUAUUUGUACUUGGUGUGAAUAGACACUCUGAAAAUAUAAUUAUAUGUUUAUAUCAUAUUUUAGUUUUACAUAACAUUGUGCACCCUCUAUCAAAGUUAUACAGGUUGUUUUUUUCCUACUGUACCUAUAAGACAUCUUAGGCAUAAAAACUGAGGAGAAAAAAACAGUUUAUCUGUCAUUUUGUAUU